rnacentral:tRNA from 1 species
GCGGAUGUCAGCGGUUCGAGUCCGCUUAUCUCCA